rnacentral:rRNA from 1 species
GAUGAACGCUAGCGAUAGGCUUAACACAUGCAAGUCGAGGGGUAACGUGUUGGAAGCUUGCUUCCGAUGACGACGACCGGCGGAUGGGUGCGUAACGCGUAUGCAACUUGCCUCACAGUGGAGAAUAACCCGGAGAAAUCCGGACUAAUACUCCAUACACUCUUAAGUACGCCUGUACAUGAGAGGAAAGAUUUAUCGCUGUGAGAUAGGCAUGCGUCCUAUUAGGUAGUUGGUGAGGUAACGGCUCACCAAGCCGACGAUAGGUAGGGGUGCUGAGAGGCAGAUCCCCCACAUUGGGACUGAGUCACGGCCCAAACUCCUACGGGAGGCAGCAGUGAGGAAUAUUGGUCAAUGGAGGAAACUCUGAACCAGCCAAGUCGCGUGAAGGAAGAAUGUCCUAAGGAUUGUAAACUUCUUUAGCGAGCGAGUAAGGACUUCCACGUGAUGGGAGUUUGAAAGUAGCUCGAGAAUAAGUAUCGGCUAACUCCGUG